GACGAACGCUGGCGGCGUGCUUAACACAUGCAAGUCGAACGGAAAGGCCCUGCUUUUGUGGGGUGCUCGAGUGGCGAACGGGUGAGUAACACGUGAGUAACCUGCCCUUGACUUUGGGAUAACUUCAGGAAACUGGGGCUAAUACCGGAUAGGAGCUCCUGCUGCAUGGUGGGGGUUGGAAAGUUUCGGCGGUUGGGGAUGGACUCGCGGCUUAUCAGCUUGUUGGUGGGGUAGUGGCUUACCAAGGCUUUGACGGGUAGCCGGCCUGAGGGGGUGACCGGCCACAGUGGGACUGAUAGAGGCCCGAGACUCGGCGGGGGGGAGGGGGGGGGGAAUAUUGAAAAGGGGGGGGGCGCUGGAGGCGGCCGCGCCGGGGGGGGGGGGGCGCCUUGGGGUUGGAACCCCGCUUUCGCCGGUGACGGAGGGGGAGUGAGGGAAGGGGGAAAAAAAGCCCCGGCAAACCAGGUG
rnacentral:rRNA from 1 species